CAAAUACAGCCUUGGACUGGCUUGGAUGGAUGGAAUACAACGCGAGUGACAUCUGAGACUCGUGAACCUGGGCCUUCAGAGGCCUGAUGCUUGUACUUCGAGACACUUGGAACCUAGCCACCACACCAGAAAGCUGAAGCCACAUGGGGAAGCCACAAGGGGUGCAACAGAGGCACCGCCAGGGAAAGUCGCCACCCUCUCCCAGCCAGCAGCAACUGCCACCUCCGUGGGGAGUGGGCUUCCAUCAACCCAGAGCAAGGUGACAAAGACAGCCUUGGA